GAUUAUUUGUUAAAUAGAAGGAAAUAUAAAAUAUCAUUCUCCACAAGUCUAAGAUUUUGGAGAAUUAAUAACGGUUAUUUUAUUUAAUUUAACAUAGUAUCGAAGCAGCAGAUCCUGAGUUCGAGUUAUGCCAGAUUUCUAACAUAAUUGAUUUUCUUUCAUAAACAAGUGUAGACAAUGACCUACCAAAAAGCCUCGAGCUCAGAUAUUAGGAAAAGUGUUAAAUAUAAAAAAAUAUAUAAGUAUUAAAAAAAUUUCGAGUCCAGAAAAAGAGUGGUAAAUAUAAAAAUAUAAAACGAGGUUAGACAGAAGAGAAAGUGUUAAAUAUAAAAUAUAA
rnacentral:lncRNA from 1 species